rnacentral:lncRNA from 1 species
AGCAAUCCAUGCAUAGAGAAGAAAACGACUUUUCUUUGUUUUAUUAUUUUCAAAACUGUUUUUGAAAUUUUUUAAAACUAUAUCCGUUUUUUUAUAAUUUAAUUUAUCUGUUGUCCCUCCCCCCCCCCCCCCAUAUUUGUUCACUACUAGAAAUAUAUAUCUGAGGUUGGAACGAACAUAACCUUCCUGCUGUUUGCGAAAUAUAUAUAAUUCUUGCGAAAUUAAUUAUUUCCAACCCAUGUUUGUUUUAAAAAGAAAUUUAUUUUUUUCUGAUACAUCAACAGGAUAUCGAUACGAUUAUAGAGAAUCUAUGCACCCUCACCCUCUACAAUAAUAUACUAUGCUUUUUAAUUUCUUGUUGGCAAGAGCCUUUCUUAAUUAGCAUGUAUAUUUAGACAACUCUUUUUAAUUACAUGCUUUUUAUAUAUUAAAUAAUGUUCUCAGUUUGAUGAACACAUAAAAGUUUUCAAUAAAACUAAUUGAAUACUCCAACUUUUAAUUGAUAUGAUUUGCCACUAGCCGAUUAUCUUGAUUAAGCCUAGAGAGAAUUAAUUAAAAAAAAAUGUCUUGCUUUUUCAGAUUUGUGCUACGUUGAAGAGAUUAACAAGUACAACAGGUACUGUGAUGAACAAAACCAACAGUACCCAUGUGUUCCCGGAAAGUUCUACUACGGCCGUGGACCGAUCCAACUCACCGGAAAUGGCGACUACGGAGCUGCCGGAAAAGCUAUCGGGUUUGACGGAUUAAGAGCUCCGGAAACGGUGGCCAGGGACCCCGUUGUGUCAUUUAAGACUGCCUUGUGGUUUUGGAUGACCUAUGUGCACCCAGUUAUGAACCAAGGUUUUGGUGCAACAAUUCAGAGAAUCAAUGGAGCCAUUGAAUGCGGUGGCAAGCAACCUGCUCAGGUUCAAGCUCGCAACGGAUAUUAUAAGGAUUAUUGCAACAAAUUUGGUGUUGCUCCUGGCCCAAAUCUCUAUUGUUAAGAUGUUUUCGCCGAUACUUCACUGGCUUGUGGAAAUAAUGUGGCGUAAUUUUAUAAUAUAGGGUGGUUUCAUGUAUCGAAAACAAAAUAAAUUGAAGAAAUAAAAGUGUGUUCCUAAUGUGGUGUAAUUUUAUAAAAUAGGGUGGUUUCAUGUACCUAAAACAAAAUAAAUUGAAGAAAUAAAAGGGUGUUGCCGACCAUAUUUUAUUGCUUAUAUGGUUUGUGAUUAAUUAUGCUUCUUGGAGAAACUCCACCUUGAUUUAGCUUUGGCUUUUUUAGGAAAAGCAAUAUGAUAGAUGUUUGUCAGUGAAAAAAGAAACUAACUUUAUACAAAGAGCAAUACUAGCUUUAGUGAUUGAUUGAGUGUCGGAUUGGACACCAACUUUAAGUAACCCAGCUUUUUCAUAACAUAAUAUUUGUAACAUAGGACUUAAAAAAUAUGAUGAAUUAAUAACUUAAUAAAUGUAACAAAUAUUUUGAUAAUAUGUGUAUCAUAAAAAGAAUGUAACAAAGUAUUUGACAACAAUAAUUGGUUCAGAACAAGACAAUGUUUCCAUGGAAUUAUGAGAAGAAUCGUGUUAGAGAUUAGGACAAAGGAAACUGCGCGACAACUUUCGUACCGUAGUAUCACAGUGGCGCCUUUUUUUCAAUCUUUUGCAAUACUAAAUUUUAUUUGGCCUCCUUACUUUCUUAUGUAUUUUCAAUUUAUUAAAUAAAUCAACACAUUUAUAAAGAUGGCUGAUAGCCGGCACCGGGCAGCUUUUAUCGGGGUUGCCAGUAAGCUAAAUCAAUUUUGGAGGAGCAUAAAACUUCAGCUUUAUGAAUAACAUUAUUUUAUUGCAUUUACUCUACUAAUUUUAUGGCUUUGAACCCUUUGUUUGACAAGAAAUAUUUGUGUCGGAUCAUCGCACCACCUCAAUCAUACCAUUUAGAGACUUAUUAUUCUGUCACAUAACCCAAUAGUAUUGGAUUUUUUCCAACAAAUUUAACAUACUAAGAUAGUAGGACAACCUUACAAAAAAAUUUUGAGUUAAUAGUGCUAAAUGGUAUUAUAAUCAAAAGUGGGUCUUGGUAUCUUUUAUUAAAAAUUUUAGAUCUACAUAACCAUUUCUCUAAACCUUGAGGAUGUAGGUAUCUUUUUCCCUAAAGUAAAAGAUUCUCUUAUUAUAAGAUUAAAAUUACUCAUAGUGAUAAUAUUAUAAUCUAUUGACAUUUUUUUUUUCAAUUAGACCAAAUUAUAAUAUUUUUUAUAAUAAGGUAAAGCAGUGCUAAGUCUUUAAACUUCUGAUGAUUUCAAUUUAUUCAAUAAAUAUAUAAUCUCUAACUCUAAUUGAAGAAAAAAAAAAGGUUGAAUUGGGGACAUAUUUAAAAGUAAAAUAAAUAUUGUUUUAUGAAAAAUUAUAAAAAAUUAAGGGGUUUAAGCAAAAAUUUUCGAGGCCUGGGUCCGCCCCCAAAGGAACAGUCACUUUUGGUCAAUUUAAUUUGAAAGUUCCACAAAUAAUAAUGCUAAAUCAAAUUCAGUUGUAAAUGAACAAGAACAAGACGAGAAUUUGGGCGACAAUUAGGGAACAAGAUGAAAUGAAGGUGAGAUGAGAUGAAGAUGAUUUUGAGAAGAAGAGAGAGAUUUGGAAUUUGGGCCGGAUUGUUUUUAAGUUCUGAAAUAUGUUUUAGAGGGUAUAAUGUUAAUAACCAAAUAACAACAUCCUACCGUUGAAACUACUUUUUCAUGUAUACAGCUGAAGUAUCAUAAUGAAAAAAUUUGACACAUGUUGCAAUUGUUUCAAAGUAAUUGAAUCCUAUAUGAUUAUUAUUUUGCAACAAGCUAUAUAUAAACAAUAAUUUACUUAAGGGUGGGCAAUGAGACGAUUUGAUUAGGUAUUGGGCCGAAUCCAAAACUUUAGUUUGGUUCAGUACUGAAUUCUUGAAAAAUCAAUAGGAAUAGAAUUAGAACUAAGAUUUUCGAUUUAGUUUGGUCCUUUAAAUAUUUAUAAAAUUUUUUAAUUUUUUUACAAAAUUUAAUAUUUUUUAUUUAAUUUCUUAUAUUCUCUUAGAUCAUGCUAUGUAGCAUUACUUAAAUAUAAAAUAACGUCAUUUUUUUUCUGCUUCGGUUCUAAUUAUGAGAAUUUAAUUCAAUUUCAUAUUUGUUUUAUCAACUUUUUUUAAAGAAAAUGUCCCUUGAGUUUACCUAUAAGAAAAUAGACAUCGUUCAAGAAUGAAAGUUUAGAAAAUUGACUAGACUUUUCAAGUCUUUAAAAGAUAUUGUUUUAUAUGUAGGUUAUGCUAACUUCUUGCUUACGAGAAUUUUCAAGUCUUUAGAAGAUAUUGUUUCAUAUGUAGGUUAUGCUAACUUGUUGCCUACGUAAACGAGCUAAGGAUACUAUUCCUCGAAAUAAUUAUCCAGAAGAAAAAGUUUGAUCUAUUAAUUAAAAUUAGGGAGAAUGAUGCUCGAUCUAUCUUAUAAUUUAUUUUUACAACUUGAGUUCCAAUGAAAUUUAUUACUCAUUUUGUUCCAACUUUUAAACAGUGACAAAAAAUAUGCAUUAUUAAAGGAUAAAUGAGAACUUUUCACGUACAAUUUUGAUAGAUCUGCAAAAGAAAAAAAAUGAAGAAGAGGAAGUGUUUUUACUGUAAGAAACAAGGCCAUUACAUUAGAGAUUGUUCUGAGAAAAAGAAAUAUGAUAAAGAGAGAAUAUGAGAUGCAGCAGUGGCCUCAGAUGAUUUAUCUGAUGAUGGAUACCAUAGUGCUGACUUGUUGGUAGCCUUAAACAACAACAUUAGAGGUUAUUAGGUCCUUGAUUUAGAUUGUUCCUUUCAUUUGUGUCCUGAUAGAAGUUUUUUUUAUGAGUAUGAAUAUGUGGAUAGUGGUAGAGUUUUGAUGGGAAACAACAAUGUGUGUAAGAUUUUUGGUAUAGGGUUUAUCAAAAUAGAGAUGUUUGAUGGGAUUGUUAUAACUCUAUGUGAUGUGAGACAUACACCUAGGCUAAAGAGGAACUUAAUCUCUUUAGGCAUGCUGGAUAGUACAUGAUACUUCUUCAAAUUUGAAAAUAGUGGUUUAAAGAUUAUGAAAAGGACUGAGAUGGUAAUGAAAGGGAUUAAGAAAAAUGGUCUUUAUAUAUUAGAAGGAUCAUCAGUGCUUGUGUCAACUAUAAUGACAACUAUUUCUGAGCUUGAUAGAACUAUGUUAUGACAUCUUAGACCUGACCAUAUGAGUAUUAGGGGAAUGCAAAAAUUAAGUAUUCAAGGGUUGCUCUGUGGUGACAAAAUAAUUGAGUUAGACUUAUGUGAAAACUGUAUUUUUAGCAAAGCACACAUGUCAAAUUUACUAAAGGGAUGCAUGUGUCUAAACAACCUUUAGACUAUGUGCAUGCUGAUCUUUGAGCGCCUGGUCAGGUCUCUUCUCUAAGUGGUGGAAAGUACUUUAUAUCUGUGAUAAAUGAUUACUCCAGAAAGGUUUGGGUAUAUAUAUUUGAAAACCAAAGAUCAAGUCUUUGAAAAGUUUAAAGUCUUGAAGGCUUUGGUGGAGGCUCAAUAUGGUUUCAAAGUGAAAUGCCUUAGGACAGACAAUGAACUUGAAUUCUGUAAUAAAGAGUUUAAAGUUUUUUUUUUAUCAAGAAUGAGGGAUUAAGAGGCAUAAGACGGUAAGGCUCACCCCUCAGCAAAAUGGCUUAGUUGAAAAGAUGAACAGAACCCUUGUUUAUAAGACAAGAUGCUUAUUGAUCAAUUAUUAAUUACCAAGGAGUUUUUGGGUUGAAGCUAUCUCAACAGCCUGUUAUCUCAUUAAUAGAAGUCCAUCAUCAGCCAUUGGGUUCAAAACUCCAUAAGAAGUCUAGUCUGGAAAACUUGCAAGCUAUAAAUAUCUCAGGGUAUUUGGGCAUCCUACGUAUGUUCAUAUUAGACAAGGGAAGCUUGAUGCACAAGCUGUCAAAUGAGCAUUUGUUCGUUAUAUAGAUGGGGUUAAAGGCUACAGAGUUUGGUGUGGAAAAGCUAAUAAGUGUUUAAUUAUUUAUUCUGUUUAAUGAAGUUGUUGUAAUCAAUAAGUCUGAUCAAGUAACUUCUGAUACUGAUAUUAAUGUAAAUAAGACACUGACUACUGGAGUCAUUAAUCAAGGUGUUAAUAUUGAGGUAGAGUUGUCUAGUGCUCAUAAAGAUGAAGUACAACCAGAAGCUGUUGAAGAUUAUUCUCAAGAUACAGUAGUAAUUGAAGAUGCAGCACCACAAGUUACUGAUCUGCAAUAAUAUCAAUUAGAUAUGGACAUAUAAAGAAGACAUAUCAUACCCCCAAAAAGGUAUGCAUAUACAGACAUAGUUGCAUAUGCAUUGACGAGUGUAGAGGAUGUUUCAAUUGAAAAGCCUAGCAGCUACGCAAAAGCACUAAGUACAACAAUAACUAGAUUAAAGCAAUAAGGGAAGAGAUGGAUUCUCUGGUAAGGAAUCAGACAUGGACAUUGGUUUCUAAUCCAAGAAAUAGGAAAAUUGUCAGCUGCAAAUGGAUAUUCAAGAAGAAUGAGGGUAUUCCAUGUGUUAAAGACUCAAGAUAUAUGGCAAGACUUGUGGCAAGGGGUUUCAAAAUGAGGGGUAUAUUUUAAUGAAAUCUUCUCACAUGCUGUAAAACACAAAUCAAUUAGAACCUUACUUGUUAUGGUGACUUUGCUUCAUGUAGAGCUUGAACAAAUGGAUAUAAAGACUGCCUUCUUACAUGAUAAUCUUGAAGAAAAGAUAUUAAUGUCACAGCCUGAAGGUUUUUAAGUAAAGGGACAUAAGGAUUAUGUAUGUCUUCUGCAUAAGUCUCUAUAUGGCUUGAAAGGGUCUCCUAGGCAAUGUAAGAGAUUUGACCAGUUUAUGAUCUCUAAUGGCUAUUACAAGAGCACAUAUGAUAAUUGUAUCUUGUUGAGUGUUAGAAAAUAUAUAUUUAUAAAGGAGAAAAUCGUCAUUUUACAUUUCAAGUCUUAUUAACACCCUUACUUUUAUGUAUUUUAAGUUUCUUGUGAUUCAAUUAUAUAUGUUUUAUUUUAAUUAAGUAUUUUAUGUAUUUUAGGGACAUCAUGGUCAUUUCACAAUGAACUAGAGAUCAGACGGCAAAACGGACAUCACUUUUGAACUCAGGACAGUCGAAAACCUUAGGAGGAGCAUAAAAGGAAAAAUAUCAUUGUUCACAUGUACGAUAUUAUUCACAUGUACGGUAUUGUUUACGUUACUGUUCACGACACUGUUCACAUAGACGGAUCAAUGACGUGGCAUUGACCGAUGAUGUGGCAUUGACUGACGAGGUGACACGAUUCCAUUGGAGAAAAUUCUUAUGCACUGUUGAUUGGUGACGCGGCAGCAUAUCAGUGGACUAAAAAUCGCGCGUACAGUACAUGCAUAUACACAGGAUUAUUUUCAACCAAACCGUGUCACUAUUCAAACCAGUUGACUGUUCAAACCGUGUGGUCAAACCGUAUCACUGUUCAAACCGCGUGGUCAAACUGCGUACUGUUGACUGAUGACGUGGCGCAAUCCUGAGCGUUCAAACUGUUUUUAAUUCGAUAGCCAUUGUUUACUCAAUGUAUCUAUAAAAAUAGGACCUCUCCCCCCUAUUUUGAUAUCUCUGAAUUCAAUUUUAAGUUCCAUUUUCUAUAAUUCCUUCUCCAUCUUGUAUUUUCUACGUAUUUUAAUAAAUUCUUAUUUUGCUCCUAGUUCAAUUAUGAGUAGUUAAUUUUCUUUCAAGCUUGGGUUGAAGGUGAAGUCUCAACAUAUGUCAUGGGCUUUAUUUGGUAAAUUUAUUUUCUCUUCACCUCUAAUUUUUGUGGAUGUUUUGACUUUUCGUCGACAAAUAAUAAUAAUCUUGUCUAGAUACCGCACUGAUUUUACCGGCUCCCUAGUACAAAGUUAUUAUUAUUUGGUACGAUAAGCUCUUAGCACCAUAUUGAUUAGAGUGUGGUUCAUGAGGUGUGGAUUCCCCCCUCAUGAUUUAAUUGGCAUUAAUAAGAAAUAUUUAGCCCAUGGUGCAUGUUGAUGCGGAUCUAGAUACCCAAGCGCUUCAAUUAUUAUAGUUUCCAUUUUAAUUUAAUUCUGCCAUUUCAAUUUAAAUUUUAAGAUAUUCCAAAUCAUCUUUACCAUAAUUCCAACCACCCAUUUAGAAAAAUUAAUUCUACACACAAUUAAAAUCCACCUCCUCGUGGGAUCGACACUUGUCACCAUUGAUCUAUUCUAAAAUAGAUUCGUGCACUUGCGAGUUCAAUAAAAUUUGUACAACAUGUCUAUCAUAGGAACAUAAGCUCAGGUGGAGCUAUGUAUCUUUUGUUGUAUGUUGAUGAUAUACUCAUUGUUGGUAAAAAUUCUAGUGAUAUUGAGAAACUUAAGAAUUUAUUAAAGGGGGAAUUUGAAAUGAAAGAUCUUGGCAGUGCUAAGAUGAUCCUUGUUAUGGAUAUUCUUAGAGAUAGAGUUGUUGGUACUUUGUUUCUAAGCCAAUCAAGAUAUGUCAGUAAGGAGUUAGAAAAGUAUAUUAUGAUGGAUUCAAAACCUGUAAUGACACUUUUGGGAGCUCAAUUUAAACUCUCUAAUGAUAUGUCUCCAAUAUCAUAUGCUAAGAAAUUCUAUAUUUACUGGCUGUAGGAAGCUUAAUGUAUGCAAUGGCUUGCACCAGAGCAGACAUAGCUUAUGCAGUAAGUGUAGUAAGCAGGUUUAUGAGUAAUCCUGAUAAGCUUUAUUAGGAUGCUAUGAAAUGGGUUAUGAGGUACUUGAAACGUACUUUAGAUCAUGGUCUGGUGUAUGGCAAAUCCAAGCAAGAAGUCUAUGAAGUUAGAGGCUAUGUGGACUCUAAUUUUGCAGGUGACUUAGAUAGGAGAAAUUCUAUCUCUGGAUACCUGUUCAUGCUAGAAAAUUGUCUCAUAAGUUGGAAACUUACUUUACAACACAUAGUAGCUUUGUUAUCUACUGAGGCUGAAUUUUUGCUGCAAUAGAGGCAGUAAAAGAAUCAUUGUGGCCGAGAAGGCUACUGAAUGAAUUUUGGUUGAAACAAAAGACAAUUUAGAUCUUUUGUGAUAAUUAGAGUGCGAUUCAGCUUAUAAAAAAUGAAAUUUAUCGUGGGAGAACCAAACACAUUGAUAUGAAGUUGCACUUUAUCAGAGAUGAGGUCGCAAAAGGGUUUGUUGUAGUAACAAAAAUAUAUACAGAUAUCAACCCUACUGAUAUGUUAACAGAAGUAAUUCCAACAGCCAAAUUUAAGAUUUGUGUAGACUUGAUUGGUAUUGGAAAUGGUUCUAGUUGUUAAGUUGCGUGGUUGAAGGUUUUUUUUUUAAAGCACUUAUGGUCAAGAGUAAUGCUGAAUCAGAUCUGCAAGGUGGAGAGUGUGAGGACAUGAGUUAUGUUUUUGGACUAAAAUGUAAUCGAAUGAAAGUUGUUGGGUAAUGUGCAAAUCGACUUCAAAUGAGGAGUCAAUUUGUAAAUUCUGCGCUAAUGUGGCAAAAAGGUUAAAGGUUGUUAAGGUGUUUCUAGAAAAUUUCCAAAAUAUGAAAGGGCCUGCUGUGCAUUGCUUUGUGUGUGAUUUCUCUUUUGUUUCUUAGCUAAAAAAGGUGAUUCUAGAUUCUUUGGAAUCCUUGAAGUGUCCUCAAAACAAUUGAUCUGAUUGUAAAGCAUUUGAGUAAUGAGAUCUUGUUCAUUUUUCCUUUGAAACUUGGAAGCUUGUUCACUGUGAAUAGUUUUCUAGGUUCUUGUUUGACUGAAUCAUUUUCUGUUCUUGAUUCCAUUCUGUCUUUAAUUGAUCAAAGUUGUGUGAGUUGAUUAAUUUCUUGUUAAUAGCCAUUAAAAUACAACAGGAAAACUACCAAAACCUAACCCGAAAUUCGAAUGUUGCCAAAUCCUGAAUCUAAAUCCAAAUUUCUAAAUGUUGACAAAUCCUAAUCCUAACCCUAAAUCUGAUACUUGUUCAGCUUUGGUGGGAAAAUCUUUUAUAGAAGAUAGUUUUCUUCAUGGUUACGUUGGUGGUCUAUAUGAGGUUCAAACUAUGUGCGUACAAUGAAUUCAAGACCUUUAAUAAGGUUUAAUUUAAAUUUAUAGUGAAAGAUUAUCGUGUCUAUCUAAGGAAGUGAAAUCUUAUACUUCCAUUUGGGAACUAGCUAGCUUAUCGAAACAAGUUUUGAACAAUUUAAUUAUUAAUGUUCAAUUUUGAUGUACUGAUCUCGGAAGUUGGAAUAAUGGAGCACAAUUAAUUAAUUUCCUUGAUAUUUAAUUAGAAUGUGAAAUCUUUAUUUCUCUUUUGGGGAAGCUAAUUUAUUGCUGCAAGUUUUGCAACCUAAAAAUAGGUUCCCUUACUGUUAAAGUAGAUUGUCAAUGAACCGCUGUUAUUAAGUCCAAAAAUCAUAAACAUAAAUUGUAAAAUAAUUUAUUGUAGAUGACAAAAGAUGUAUUGGGCCGGACUCAACAAAGGGUGCGUUUUUUAUUUGGAAUCAGUGGAUGUCCUAUGGAACGCCUCAAGGUCCACUAAACAGCCACACAACUGUUAUGGUAAAAAAUGUUUUCAGGUCAGCGGAAGUUUUUUUGAAUAAUCAAUGGAGGAAAGUAAAAAAUACCCUUAGUUUGUAAGUGAAAUUACUACAUAUUUAUUUUGUUAUAUCAUUUAAGAUCAUGUCUUUUUCUGGUUGACGUGCAAUCUUGGCCAUGAAAUGGGACUCUUUAUUGCUUGAACAAUAGUUGAAAGAACUAAUUACUAAUCACAUGAUUUGUGGUUUAUACCUCCAUCAGCCAGAAUCAUACAAUUGUAAACAACUAUUGUCGUGUAGAAAAAAAUCAAGAAUAAAGUUAAUUUGUAUGUUUUUUUUUUGCCAUAAGAUAUAUAUAUAUAUAUAUAUAACUGAUUUGUUCCUAUAGAUUAUGAUAUGUUUGUAAACAACUUUCAGGUUGAUUUGCAAUUGAAAUAUUGUUCUCGUCUGCCAUAAAUUAAUGGAUUAUUUUUGUUGUUAAUUGACUCGUCUAUGAAAUUAAAGAAAACUGGAAAUACUUUAGAGCCAUAAUUUCUUUAAAAACUAGUUAUUAAUUUGAUAAAUGAUGAACAUUCAAUUCUUUAAUUGGAUAAAACUUAAAGCCUGCAGAUAAUCAUACAUAUUUUAGGCAAUUUUCUUUUGCUCAAAUAUUAUAAUGUGAAUGUGAAUGAUGUGGUGCUCCUAAAACACCCAACGCCCAAGACUUUUUUAUAAUAGAGUAAAUUUAACUUAGACAUGUUUGGCAACGGAGUAAAGUUUGGGGAUUUUGUUAUGUAUGCUCAACUACUUUGUGCACUGAGUUCUAUCAAGGUAAGCACUGUACAGUCCAUUAUCAGACUCAGACAACUAUUAUAGUGUACUCCUCUUUCUUGUCAUAUUUUUCCUUUUCAAACGUAAUUAAAGAAAUUACAUAUUCAAAUGAAAUGACAUACCAAAAGGAGCCUAGUCAUAAGUCCAGCAAGCUUUAUCAUUCAAAGUAGCCCCAAUUGUGAUUUGUCAGAAGGCUUAGAAUGAAGGACAAAAAUCCCAAGAGAAGAGCCUAAUAAAAAAUUAGAGCAAAACAAUAAUUCCAUUGACCGAUAUCAUUUAUAAAAGAACCUUUGAAAAAAAGAAAAUUAUGCACUUUUUAUUUUGGGCGAUACGAGAUGCUUUCCAAACAGCAUGUGUUAAGAAAUCCCAAAAAUUGUACACGUGUAAAAAAUUACUGGCUGAUUCGACGGAUGAGGUUGGCUUUUUGCCCCUUUUUUUUUUUUUUGUCAGGAGGAUGUGGUUGGCUUUUCAUACAAAUAAGGGCAAAUUACCCUAUUUAUAAAUUAGUAAAAGGGACACUUGGAAUCCUUCUAAGUUCAUUUUAAAAAAAAAAAAAAUUCUGAAAAGCUAAUGUUUCUUAUCCGACAAAGAGAACUUUUAUCUUCUUAUCAUGAUUUAUGAAUACUGAUUUUGAUGUUUUCAAUCCAGCUCAGAAAUUUUUUUUCCUUUGAUCAUGAUUCAUGAACAAUGUGUUUGAUGCUUUAACUGUGCAGUUUUCAUCUCCCCAGGUGGAAAGUUUUGAGUAAAAAGUCAUAGAUUUUCUUUGAAUCUUUUAUUAAACUUGUCAAAAGAACAUGCUACCGACAUUACAAAGAAAAUCUGUUUUCUUUUUUUCCCGUUUUUCGGGCAGCCGAAUGCAAUCGAAACAAGUUUCGUACCGUUGUAAACUUGUAUACUUGAUGGUCCCAAUCAGUGGCUGCCUGUUUCUAAUAUCGAAGUAAAAAAAAAAAAGUUAUUUUUCCGAUUGCAGAUAUAUUUAUUUUGAUUAAAAUUGGCUAUCACAAAUAGAUUAAUGCAAAAUUGGUCAUCAUGUGUUUGAUUAAUUUAUCCUAUUUUUCGUUAUUAGUUUUAAGCUUUUCUUUCAAGUUUUUUUUUGGGACAAAAUUUUCAAAUUUUCUAUGGCCAUAAUCAUAUGUUGGGGUUUGUAUCAGAAAAAAGUUUUUAAGUAUUUGUAUGGAAAAAGACAACUUAUCCUACGUGAAAGUUUUAGAAGCUCCUUUGAUCGGUUAGAUUUUUAAUAAGGAUAUUUUCUAAUUAAUUUUAUAAGUAUAUAUAUAAACUUUUUUUUUUCAUGUGGACAGCUUAUUGUUUAUUUCAUAUGCCACGUUAUUGAGUCAUAUGAUUUAAUAAAAUUAGUACAAACAUAUUAUUAAAUUACAUGAUUUUAUAAUAUAUUAAAUAUUGAUUUUAUUAAAACAGAUGAAACCCUUGUACUUGAGAAUGAAAGUUUGUAUACAUUAGGACGUCACCAAAAUAUUUUGAGAUAUUAAAUUGAUUAGUGACACACCAGAAUAUCAAUGCCGAGAAGAGAACGAGAAGAACUAGUGUGGAGAAAAGGGUACAAGAAGAAUUGCUUUCAUUUCAUGGACCCAAAUUUACGCCGCUAAUUGAGAACGGGAGUUAGUGGAAGGCUUGACUUUUCAGUUUCGAAGAUAUACAUAAAUAUUUCAGUAUUUAUAAACGGAAAAUAUUAAAAAAAACUCAGAUGUUUGGACUGAUUAUUAAUUUUUACAUUGUGAUAACUGAUAUCACUAAAAAAAGGAAAAAGAAUUAAGGAAAGAAAGGAAAUUAAGUUAUAAAGAAAUUAGGGUAUAUAUCCUAUAUUUUAAUUUAAAUAUCUUUUUUGUCCACAUAUUUUAAAAAAAAAUGUAAAGACAUCCUAUUUUAAAUAUGUUACGAUCUUCCUCUUAUUUUUUUCUUACCUUUUACAACAAUACUAACAAUAAUAUUUUUGGCAUUAAUUUUUUAUCUAAAAAAAUAAAUAGCAUAUUAACCAAUAUAUUAGAAAAUUAGAAAUAAAUAUCAUUCUACAACAACUAGUAACCAUUUAUGAUAAAUUAAAACCAACUAAUUUAAAGCAAUGUUUAAGCUAAGUUAAUUUUUUGUAAAAAAAAAUUAAUUACCAAAUUAAUCCUAAAAUUAAGAUAACAAAAAAUAGAUAGAGUAAUUUUUAUCUUACUUUUAAGACUAAUUUGAUAAAUUCAUUUUUUUUUUCUUUUCAUUGAAUCUCCAACAAUAUUAUUGUAAGGGUAUUAUUCUAAAAUCAAAGAAAAGAUCAGGGUAGGAAUGUAAUAUAUUUACCAGUAAAGAUGUCUUGAAAUAUUUUCUAAAAUAAAGAGAUUAAAUGGAUACUUAACUGAAAAAUACACAGACCAAAUAAGUAUUUAGCUGAGAAAAUAUGAUACCAUGUUAUUAGUUAUUAAUUAACAAACCUAAAAAAAUUUAAAUCACUCAAAUGAGUACAAACCACAUAUUUUUUUGUUAAAAUUUGUGUAAAGUCUAGUGCAUGUGUAUAUAUAUAAACAAAGUAGGUAGAUAAUUAAAAAUAAACAUGUCUGAGUUUCAAUAUCUGAAAGCUCGAAACAAGUAUGAGUUUAAGAUUUUCCAAUCUACAAUUAAUUCAGUUACAUUAAAAAACAAAUUUCCUCAAAAUUUAUUGAAAAUUAGUUAUUUAAAAUUAUAUUUUGUACAAUUAUUAUUCAAAUUUAAUUUGAAAAAGUUUAAUAUAGAUGGCGGUCAAUCAACAACCCACUCGAAAGAUUUGAUUUAUUUUCUUUUAUUUUAUUUCUAGUUCUUUUGACAAGUCAAGCCAGCUAGAUUUCAAGCCACAACAAAUGCGAAGUCUAGAAAAACCUAACAAGAGAUAAACUCUAUGUUCAAAUUUAUCACAAUUCACCAGCACGUGGCAGACAUAACGUCCAUUUUGCACUCUAUAAAUACCGUACUCCCAUCACCAACAUUUGCAUAUCACUCACAUUUCUCUACUCCUAAACAAAAUGGCUCCACUUAACAUGAAAAAAAAUAUUGUAACCUUUGCUCUUGUGGGCAUUCUUGCCCUAGCUUUUCCCACCAAAGUAAUGUGUCAAAAUGUUGCUAGCAUUGUGACUCCCCAGUUCUUCGACGGCAUAAAGAAUCAGGCAGCCGCGAGUUGUGCCGGCAAGAGCUUCUACACGAGAGAUGCGUUUCUGAAUGCUGCCAAGGCUUAUCCUCAAUUUGGUAGCGGCUCUCCUGAAGUUUCGAAGCGUGAGAUUGCUGCAUUUUUUGCACACGUCACUCAUGAAACUGGACGUAAGUUCUCUCCAUUUUAUUUCUUUUUGCAUGCAAAGUAUUUAUGAGCAAUCCAUGCAUAGAGAAGAAAACGACUUUUCUUUGUUUUAUUAUUUUCAAAACCGUUUUUGAAAUUUUUUAAAACUAUAUCCCCCAAGGUUGGAAUGAACAUAAUCUUUUUAAUUACAUGCUUUAUAUGUAUUAAAUAAUGUUCUCAGUUUGUUGAACACAUAAAAGUUUUCAAUAAAACUAAUUGAAUACUCCAACUUUUAAUUGAUAUGAUUUGCCACUAGCCAAUUAUCUUGAUUAAGCCCGGAGAGAAUUAAUUAGAAAAAAAAAUGUCUGGCUUUUUCAGAUUUGUGCUACAUAGAAGAGAUUAACAAGUCCAACCGGUACUGUGAUGAACAAAACAAACAGUACCCAUGUGUUCCCGGAAAGUUCUACUACGGCCGUGGACCGAUCCAACUCACCGGAAAUGGAAACUACGGAGCUGCCGGAAAAGCCAUCGGGUUUGACGGAUUAAGAGCUCCGGAAACGGUGGCCAAGGACCCCGUUGUGUCAUUUAAGACUGCCUUGUGGUUUUGGAUGACCAAUGUGCACCCAGUUAUGAACCAAGGUUUUGGUGCAACAAUUCAGAGAAUCAAUGGUGCCGUUGAAUGCGGUGGCAAGCAACCUGCUCAGGUUCAAGCUCGCAUUGGAUAUUAUAAGGAUUAUUGCAACAAAUUUGGUGUUGCUCCUGGCCCAAAUCUCUCUUGUUAAAAUGUUUUCGCCGAUACUUCACUGGCUUGUUGAAAUAAUGUGGUGUAAUUUUAUAAUAUAGGGUGGUUUCAUAUACCUAAAACAAAAUAAAUUGAAGUAAUAAAAGGGUGUUGCCGACCAUAUUUUAUUGCUUAUAUGGUUUGUGAUUAAUUAUGCUUCUUGGAGAAACUCCACCUUGAUUUAGCUUUGGCUUUUUUUAGGAAAAGCAAUAUGAUAGAUGUUUGUCAGUGAAAAAAGAAACUAACUUUAUACAACGAGCAAUACUAGCUUUAGUGAUUGAUUGUCGGAUUGGACACCAACUUUAAGUAACCCAGCUUUUUCAUAACAUAAUAUUUGUAACAUACAACUUGAAAAAGAUGAUGAAUUAAUAACUUAAUAAAUGUAACAAAAAUUUUGAUAACAUGUGUAACAUAAAAAGAAGGUAACAAAUUAUUUGUCAACAAUAAUUGGUUCAGAACGAGACAAUUCACUUGCCAAAACAAGACAAUAUUUCCGUGGAAUUAUGCGGAGAAUCGUGUUAGAUAUUAGGACAAAGGAACCUAUGUGACAACUGUUGUACCUUUUUUUGUGAUGCUAAAUUUUAUUCAACCUCCUUACUUUCUUACGUAUUUAUAAUUUAUUAAAUAAAUCAAUAUAUUUAUAAGAUGGCUGAUAGCGGGCACUGGGCAGCUUUUGUUGGGGCUCCCAGUAAGCUAAAUCAACGAAAAUUGUUAGGAAAUUGACUGUGCUAACUUGUUGUUUACGAGACUUUUCAAGUCUUUAAAAGAUAUUGUUUUAUAUGUAGGUUAUGUUAACUUGUUGCUUAGGAGACUUUUUAAGUCUUUAAAAGAUAUUUUUUUCAUGUCUAGGUUAUGCCAACUUAUUGCUUACACGACUUUUGAAGUCCUUAAAAGAUAUUGUUUGAUAUGUAGGCUAUGCUAACUUGUUGCUUGAUUUAUUAAUUAAAAUUAGGGAGAAUGGCAUUCCGUCUAUCUUAUAAUUUAUUUUUGUGACUUGAGUUUCAAAUAAAUUUAUAAUUCAAUUUGUUCCAACUUUUAAACAGUGAAAAAAAUGCAUAACUAAAGGAUAAAUGAGAACUUUUCACAUACAAAUUGACUAUCCAUAAUUAUUAAAAUUAGUUAAUUAUUUAUUGAAGUUUAUAUUUUCUCUUUAACAAUAUUUUUUUCUUAUUAUUGUAACAUAAAGAAAAAUAGAGUCUUAAAAAUUAAACAGUGAUCUAAAUAUAUAAAAAUACAUUCUCAUAAUGACCUAAGUCUAGUCUCUUUUUAAAUAAAUCCUUACUUAAGUAAUAAGGAAACUGAUAUGAUAAAAUUGGAUCUAGUCCAACCACUGGUGCAUUUAUAAGCUAUAGUCGCGUACAAUUAAGACUUAAUUACAUAUAAUACAUAUUAUUUUUUACGUAUGCAAUAACUACCGAUCACCAUAUAUAUUUAAAAAGCUCAGCUAAUCUAAAUUCCCAUAUAUUUUUUUAUAAAAAUUAGAAAACUUGCCUGAAUUUGUCGGAUUAAAUUUCUGGUUACAGUCUCCUCACGCAACUCAGUUAGGCAGUCCAAACAAGAAAAGACAAGCAAAGAAGAAAAUAUUAGCCGACUACAAACUUGACCAGUCAAUUUGGUGAAAAGUAUAUACAAGACUUGAUUGAAUUUAUUAUAUUAAUUAUAGAAAUUAGUCUUCUGAUCUUCUAGACACGAAUUUUUCUAUGAAUUAUCAUUCUAUAUAAAGUGACGUGUAGCUAUUGUAUAACUGCAUGUGAUACAUCAUUUAUGCUCAUUAAUUUGCAUAGAUUUGUGUACUUAAAUUUAGCCAAUACAUUUUCAUGUCACAUUACUGCCACUAAAUCAUUCAUCAAUGAAAAUAGAAAAAGUUAUCCCAACAGGUCGUGGACGUAUCUUGCAAAUUAAUCUUUUACAGAAGAGAUCUUCAGAUCUAAUAAUAUAUCAAGUCUUGCGCAUAUAUAUGGUCUAGAGAAGAUAUUGCAAUUCUAUUAAUGAAAAAUAGGGAAAAAAAAUUAAGGCCGAUAACUCUCUUCAUGUAAAUUCAAUAUUGUUUUGUCCUUGUUUCCUUUUUGUUAUAAUUAUUAUUUGAUUGCUCAUGUGUAAUUGAAAAUUCAUAAUACUAAAUUUCUCUUAAAAUAAGCAGGCCCAAAUGGAAAAUAUCUUUGGCAAAAUUUUCCACAAAACUAUUUUGUUACAUUAAUUUAUAAGGUCCGCCUACCGUGCAACAGUUACACGGUACCACUGAAUUUUGUCUUUUUCAAACAAUUACACUACAUUACCCAAUAUUUUUAAGAAAACUGAAUAGAUACUAUAAGUUACAAAUUUUUAUAUAUAGGUCAUUUUCUCUGGAUAAAAUUAUAAAAUGACUUUUGAAAAAAAAAUUAACUGUUAUUAUUAGUAUUAUUUAUUAAUGUCAUUAUUAUUAUUAUUAUUAUCAUUAUUAAAAUUUAUUAUUUUAAUUGUUAUGAUUGCUUUAAUUAGUUAUCAUUAUUAUUAUUAUUUAUUGAUUUUAUUACCGUCACUAUUUUUAAAAUAUAUUAAAUUUAUUACUGAAUUAUUAUUGAAUUAUUAUUUUAUUAAUAUUAAUAAAUUUAUUAAUCUUAUUAUUCUAAUUAUUAUAUUUAUAUUAAUGUUGUCGUCGUCAUCAUCAUUAAACUUUAUAAUUUUUUUUUUGUUUUGACUAUUAAAUAAUACCACUGUCAUUAUUAUUAUUUUGCCUUAAUUAAGCAUUACAUAUAUUUUAAUUAUUUUUUUUAUUUUUAUUAAUUAUAAUAAAAAUAAAAAAAUAAAUUAUACUAUAAUAUUAUUUUAUUAUAUCAUAUUAUAUUUAUGUAAAAAUAAUUAUGCAAAUAAUAAUUUAAUAUAAUUAAUAAUAAAUUUAAAAAAAUUUAGUUUAAUAUUAGUACAAAAUUAAUGCAGUACAGGAUAAUACCAAUUACCAAAUGUUGUAUAAUUUUAUUAUAAUUAUUAUAAUAUACUGCUAAUGUAAUAUAAUAUAAUAUAAUACAUGUACAUUACAUAAUACAAUGCAAUAUAAUAUAAUAUAGUGUGCCAAACGGACCUUUAACUUUUUUAGUGAUGAUGGUUUAGAGGGAUGUAGAGAAAGUAAAAAUAAUCAUGGUAGAUCUUUUACAAUGGUUGAUUAGCUAUUAUCACAAAGUUUAGGCUAAUACAAUAAAAAUUAACCAACUAUCCUAUAUUUAAAAGAGCAUUUGGAAAUCAAUAAAUUUAUUAUUCAAUUAUUUUUAAUCAGGAAUAAAUAAUAAAUUAUCAUUACAACAAGAUUGACAAGCUCAAAUAUCUUAAAAAAUGAUAAUCCUCAAGAAAUAUGAAGCUCAAAUGCUCUUGAAAUAUUCUUUAAAAAAAAAACUAACUUCCUUUCAUAUUAUUCUUUAUUUAUCUUUCUAUAACUUUGUUGGGCUAUAUAUAUAUUGAUAUUUUAUAGGUAAAUUAACAUAUUGUAUGUAUAAAUAAACUAACAUAUCAACUAAUGCUAAAAACAAAAAUGUAAUAAAAAAGUAAAGUUUUGUAAUAUUAAAAUAAUAAAAUUUUACAACCUAAGACUUAUUUAUUUAUUUUACAUUAAAUAUAUAUUAAAUAACAAAAAAUAUUAUUUACAUUUAUCAAAUUUUCAUGUGUUUAAAAAUUUUAUGUGAUAUUACAUUAUUAUAUUUACACCAUCAAUUAUUUUUAUGAUCAAAUUAAGUCAAUAGAUCAAACUUUAAAAAAUUUAAAACAACAGAAAUUAUGUAAGUGAAUACUUAAAACUUUUAACUUUUAUAAUUUUGUAGUAAAUAAUAGGAACUUAAGUGUUAAUAACUAAUUGAACACAUCCUAACUGUUGAACACUUUAGCUAUUGAUCCAUUGGCUGAGUUGAAAAAAGAUAAAAAGUGGGGUACCGUGCAACUGUUGCACGGUAGGCGGACCCUAAUUUGUAAUCUAUUUUCGCAUCUAUCAACUCAAAAUAUGGCACUAAAAAUUAAAAGUGGGUCUGAACAUGGACCCAAAUAAGUUAAAUAAACGAAUAUACAUUAUAACUUAGGACACUUGGGAUCAUUAUAGCAAUUGCUUACUGAAAACGUUUAGAAAAUUUUAAGACGAUGGACCAUUUUAAUUGCCUGACACUGGAAAUUGCUAUUAUCACGUGAUGGUAAAGUUACAGGAACGGAAUUUUUGUAAAGUACAAAUGUAACGUACUGUCAUAACCGGCAAUGCCAAAUUUGAAAUAUUUAUAAGUUUUCAAGAGGUUAUCAGAUGACAUUGUAAAUGAUUGUGAUGGCUUUUUUACAAUUUCAAGUUAAAAUGAAAUUUUGGAUGUUAUCUAAUUGUUUUCUUCAUCAUUUCACUGUUACAUAAUUGUCAAUGAUUGUGAUGGCUAAUUUACAAUUUCAAGUUAAAAUGAAAUUUUGGGUGUUAUCUAAUUGUUUUCUUCUUCAUUUCACUGUUACAGAAUGAUUUGAACAAAGACUACGAGUUCGUUAUAUCAAUUUGAACUAAACUUUGUAAGUAUAACACUAAGAAUUUUUCGUGUGCCACAAUUUGCGCAACUAAUUGAGGGGUGGACUAGAUUAGUUUUGACAGCUAGAAUAUAAUUUGACUGACUUUACGAUAUACAAAAAUAUUGAUCACAAUUCUUCAUCAUUCGGUGCCAACGUUUACAUUUUUCGAAAGUAUACAUUGAACAAUAAUAGCGUAUAAUUUGAUUCACUGUAUCUAUAUACUUGAAAUAGACUAUUCAUGCGGCUUGUCAUUUUUAUUAGAAUCACACUACGUUACAUUAAACGUAACGUACACACACUCACAGCAACAGUAACAGGUCUCAUUUUGUUACUGUUACUGUGAGUGUGUGUAUGUUACAUUUAUAUAGCACUCGCCUUUUUAUUAACGUCUAACUUCUUCAAUUCAAUGUUAAAUCACUAUCAAUCAUAAAAUAUUAUUAUUUUACAUUUUGUGAAAUAGAGACCUCACAUUAGAGCCAAGGGUAAAGCUAUGGUACCACAACUAGAUCCAACCAUUAGAUCAAGCCCACAGUUGUCACUAGAACUGGAUCCAAUGGCUGGGUCCAGCUAUAGUACUAUAUAACUGUGGCACCCUAGCUGGACCCUAGAGCCAAACUGCAUAACGUCCAUAAAUUUUCAUUCAUAUCUCUUCAAUUUUUCAAAAUUUUCAUGUACAGAUCAAGUCAAGGUAAGUCUAUUGGAACCGUAUUCUACACGAACGAAAAGUAGGCACAAAUUAUUAAAUGUCCAUAAAUUUUCAUUCAUAUCUCUUCAAUUUUUCAAAUUUUUCAUCUACAAGUCCAAGUCAAGGUAAGUCUAUAGGAACCGUAUUCUACACAAACGAAAAGUAGGCACAAAUUAUUAAAUUAUCACAGGAAAAAGAGGUAAAAUACUUGUUUACUACCUUAUAUUUUGAGUUAAAUGUCCAUUUAAUUUUUAUAUUUUAAAAAAUAAUAUAGGAUAUUUUUGUCAUUAAUUAUGUUACAGAUUUACAGUUAAAAGUUACUUUAUCUUUGUUUUACAAUAAUAUUCUGCAAAUAUUGAAUAAUAUAAGAUAUAGGCUCAAGCAACAAUCUAUUGAAAAAAAUAAACGUUAAUUUUUUAUCUUUUUUAAAGUUAAUUUGUUAAAUUAACCUUUUUUUUUCAUUUCAUUAAUGUUCACGGAAUUGUUGUUUUGGUCCACAUACCCUGUUAGUCAACAUCGCAACAUUGCAAGGGUAUUAUUGUAAGAAUAAAAAAAUAAUAAAAUGUGACAUAAAUAAUGACAAGAAUAUCUUGGAGUAUUGUCUAAAGCAUAUAUUUAAUCCAAAAUAUAGGGACUGGAUUUAAACAUAAGAGCUCUAUAAAACCCUUGCUCUAUGAAUCAAUUUUGCACAUCACAACUUCUCUUUUUGCUGAGCUUAAAAAAAUUCCUCUCAAAAUGGCUCUGUUCAAUCUUAAUAAAGAUUCACCAACCUUUCUUUUGUUUGCAAUUUUCACAUUGGCUAUUCCCACAAUUGUAUUGUCUCAAGUGGCCAACCUUGUGACACCAGAAUUCUUUGAUGGGAUAAAGAACGUAGCCGAUCCAAGCUGUGCAGGCAAGAGUUUCUAUACAAGAAAUGCUUUUCUUAAUGCUGCCAAUUCAUAUCCUGAAUUUGGAUCUGGUUCUGCUGAUGAAUCUAAGCGUGAAAUCGCGGCAUUUUUCGCUCAUGUCACUCAUGAAACUGGACGUAAGACUUCUGUCCUUGCCUUAUUCAUUUUGCCCUUAUUCUUUGGUAGUCCACAGGGGUAUGAUAAAUUUUGUGCGUUCUAACAUGCAAGAAUUGAAUCUUAAACUCACUCGAGAACCUCUCUUCGUCGAGGGAAUAAUUUCACAUUGGCUGAGAAUAGUGCUUACUUUAUAAUAAGUUUGAGAUGAUCCACUGCUUUUAAACUAAUUAAUUUUUUUUUAUCCAAAAUAUUUAUGUUUCAACUAGGAUGAGGUUUUUCUCCUAUUCCAAGACCGGUGGCGUUGGGUUGGAAGGAGAUGAGGGGGGAGAUGAAAGUAAUUUGAAUUUAUUUUUCAUUUCAGUUGUUUGGUUGGUUAUAAUCUAUAAGAAUUUAAUCUCUAUUAAAAUUUAAUAUCUAUCAUAAUGUUAAAUUUGGAUUCCACACCAACGAAUGAAGAAUUCAAAAUCCUCCUCUACUGGAAACCAAAACUUCCAACUAGCCCUUCAAUCUUCAUGAACUUGUUUAAUGUUAUGAGUAAUUAUUAUUUAUAAUUCUGUUUUUAUCAGCUUAAUAUUAUAUAUAAUUAAUUUUAUAUGAAAUAAAGUUAAAAGUACCAAUUUAAACAACUUAAUAAAUAACUUUAUUUAUUUAAUUAAUUUAAAAAAAAUAAAGAUAAAUUUUUUAAAAAUGAUUAGAUUGUCACCGCUCUGCUACCAAAACUGGAGCAUGGAAUGUUGCCAUCGGUACCAAUUGGACUCGGCAAUCAAUGAACAAAGUCACUCAAAAAUAGGAUGAAUUUUGUUCAAAUCCAGUUGAAAAGGUUUGAAAACCUUUUGGUUUCCAUAGAUCCGAACAAAUAUCAAAUUUUUUGACCAUAUAAAUUAAUCCGCUAUAGAGAUUGUCGAUUUCUAACCAUUUUGGGUUUUUAAGUAAAAUUUUAUAAAAUUACAAUAUAUUGAAUGAGAAAUUAUUUCUAUUAUCUUAUAAUUUUUUUAAAAAUAAAAUUAUGCUUUAUAAAAAAUUUAAAAUAUAUAAAUACAGGUAUAAAAAUUAAAAUAAGUUUUAUUACUUAUUUUACAUAAUAUAUUAAAUAAACUGUUUAAUUUUUUGAAUUAUAUUACUUAUAACAAAUAUUGAAAUUUUAAAACUAAAGGAUAAAACUGUCCAAAUAAAAAAAUGAAUUUCUCUUCUUUGAAAAAUUAUGUAACAAACUAAAUAUUAAAAAGAAUUCUACUCCUCUCCUCUCCUUUUUCUCUUGUUUCCUCCACUUUCCUCUGCUCUCAUUUCCCCACCUUCCUUCAAACCAAACAACACUUUAGUGUGCAUUAUUAUUUAUGUGUAGUCAAGAUUUCUUUUUUAAUUAUUAUUUUAUUUUUUUAGCAGGAACCAAUCAGUAACUUAUAUGUUUCUAACGCUGAUAGACAAUGUUAAGAAAAAAAAAUGAUUCUGACUCUUAAAACAUAAUCUUGAUUUUUUUGUGUUAUAAUUUGAUAAAUAAAAAUUUAAUAAUUGCCACUUUAAAACAUCAAAGCAUUUCCAAGUCUAUAGAAAAUGACCUAGCUAAAACUAAUAACAAUGAAGAUGUUAUUAUUAUUAUUAUUAUUAUUAUUAUUAUUAUUAUUAUUAUUAUUAUUAUUAUUAUUAUUAUAUCGGAUUCGACGGUCUAAACUCACCGGAAACGGUGGCCAAUGACCCAGUUAUAUCUUUCAAGACUGCCUUGUGGUUUUGGAUGACCAAUGUGCACUCUGUUGUAAACCAAGGCUUUGGGGCAACCAUUCAGAGAAUCAAUGGUGCUCUUGAAUGUGGUGGCAAGCAGCCCGAUAAAGUUCAAGCUCGUAUCGGAUAUUACUGCUGUACCGUACAUCCGGUCUUGUUAAUUAAAAUACGCUUUGCGUGCAUGAACAAAAAUGCAUGUAGUACUUACUACAAGACUAUUAGAAUAAAGAGUUGUUUCAAACAACUUGUUUACUUCCACUGUGGUGGCUUUUAUACGCACUCAGAAUGAAAUAAAGAGUGCAUGUUACAUUAUUUUGUAACUUGAUAAGGUCCAAAUAAAUAUCAGUUUGUGUACGUAAUUAUAGAAAUAUUAUUUGCCUUUCUAUCUUUCUUUGAUUUUUUCUUUAAUUAUUAGCUGUAUAAGGCCUGUACUGUAAUUUUGUGUUUUAAGUAGCCA